GGGAUGAUAGCUCAGUUGGGAGAGCGCGAGAGUGAAGUCUUCUACCGAUCAGUUCUUGAGGUCGGGCGUUCGAUCCGCCCUCGUCCCA